UUGUUUGAGUUGGGAUUUUACUCACUGUAUCUACUCAAUCUCCGUUCAAUCAUUCAGUGCUCAUUAUUCUAAUCUCUCCUUCCUCGAAUGGUUGGUAAGGGUAGUACUGGCGUGGUGAUGCCGCCGCUGAAUUUCGUGACCGUGUGCUACGUGUUGGAAACGGAGAGUUUGUGACAAGCGAACAGCUUUCCGCUUACAAGUUAGUUCAAGCGACCGCUAAGUGGCUAGCGGCUGUGGACACUAGUCUUGUCAGGAGCACCCAACAUCUUCCGGAUUAGUAUCAGCGCUGUUAUGGUCAUAGCCUAACUCUUUCUAUCCAGAGUUGUGGAAUUCUACUCCGUCCACAGCCCACACGACGUGUAAUGGUUACUAGCAGUUUUGAAUGCAGCAGCUUUGGUCUGACAUGCGAGCAACUGUAUCAGCAAGAAUAGCUGCUAUAAACUGAACGGAAAGUCUGCAAGAACAAUUUCAUCGGACUGAACUCUGCUUGGUGACACCUGCCUCAUAGCCAGCAAUUUUGGAAGGACAAUUUCAGCUUAUGGCGGCACCCAGUGAUUGUAGCUGCUGUUUGGACCUGGAAUGGCUGCUGUAUGCACAUGGAAUGGCUGCUGUUUGCGGGCCACGGAAUGGCUGCUGUUUGCGGGCCACGGAAUGGCUGCUGUUUGCGGGUCAUGGAAUGGCUGCUGUUAAGCCACAGAAUGGCUGCUGUUUGGGAGUCGCGGAAUGGCUGCUGUUUGGACACGGAAUGGCUACACGGUUUCAGUACGCUUAGCACGGUACUGGCUGCAAGCAUGUACGAGUGGCUCUGCAAGAAACCAGAUGGAGUUCACGGGGCACUUUGCUAGUGGCCGAAAGGAGGAUUCAUCUGGAUGAGGUAAUGAGGUAAUGAGGUAGGCUCCAACAUCAUGUGAGAGCAGAACAUCAUGAACACGUGUGGAAGGACAGCAGCCAACAGCAAGCCAGCAAGAAGAAAGGCCGGCGAAGAAAUUUCAUGUGAAGAUUAUUCUGCAGAAUUAGCCAUCCCAAACCCCGACCACCAUCCCCUACCAGAAAAAUUACUUUUAUAGCCUAUCCUGCCUCUGAACUUCACACCUGAAAUGAUUGGUCAACUGCCUCGGCCAAUCAGAGUUGAUUAAGUCAUAGCACUUGCAAAGUUCUCACCUCCGACUCUGAUUCUACCCGAUGACAGUUGAUCAAUCAUAAUUAUACCUACCAUGCUUAGUAUGGAUGUGAGUGUG